GUAAGGUGCAGUUUGGGCAGCAGCAAAUAUCUGGCUUGAAUCAUGGCUGGAUGUUUACUGUAUUAUUUAGAAGGAAAGCUGGAGCUGUGAUGAUUCCUAAAUAGAAUAAGACAGGCUGACACAGACAUGAAGACUGGCAAGUCAGAAUAAGCUCCUGGUGACCUUGAAUCUACUUUCUGCUGCUGAGAAUUUACCUAUUUUGGAUGCUUCAUGAGACGAUUCCUCUUAGCAAAAGGGCACUGUGUACCCUCCAAGGCUGGAAAUGAUAGGUUUUCGGCGAGGAGUGAAAAUAUUGUGCUGACAGCCCUUUGCCUGUGUAGAGCAGGGUUGUUUACUCGCGCUGGAGCACAGCUUUAUUGAAGCAGAGAGUCAUGGUCCCAUCAUCAGGGUUGCCUAGCAACCAGUCUACGCCACUCCACAGAGUUUCAGAAUGGGCUGGACCACAAGUACCCACUUUGGGGGAUUUCCAGUGACAGUCCUACUCUCACUCCAUCACAUCGCUUCUAAAAUCUGAGUCACAUGGUUCAAAUUUCACAGUACAAAGUGUGUUCUUCAGAUCUGGGGUUCUCUCCAAAAUGGAUAAUCAUUAUUGAUUUUGUAAUGCAAUGCCAAGACCAUCAGUAAGCCUGGACCCACGCCUUCAUCAAUCUACUGUCAGGGAUAGAUUGUGCAUUUUCUGUGUCCCAGUGGGUGCCCCCCCCCCAAAAUAGAGCAGACAAAGCCUGGCCUGCGAGGGUACUGGUUUAGUUCAACAAAUAUCCAUAGAAUGCCCACUUAGGCAAAAUGGCAUAGGGCAGAUUGCCAAAAUCAGGGUUGACUCGGCCUGGAGCCAUGAAGUGGGUCCAACAGGUCUCUGAACUGAGGCAGGAGGCCCCAGGAUCCCGAGGUGUGCUGUAAAGCCUUUGAUGACAGCAUCUUGUGCCUAACACCUGACCACAUCUGAGCCACUAGAGACAGUACCUGAUAAGGAUGCAGAUGCCUGGGCCCUACCUUCCAAAGUUCUGGCUCAGUAGGUCUGGGGGAAGACCAGUAAUCUUCAUUUUAACAAAGACCACUGACGGUUCUGAUGCAGGUGGUCCAAGGACCACACCUGGAGAAACUUCCACCUCUAGGAGCAUCUGGGGUAAAAACUUCACCCAAACUUCCUAAGGUCACAACAUAUCCCCCCCAACAGAGGAAGCAGUAACUUUUGGCCACAGCCCCUAGAGAGGGGAUUUGCCUGGCGUUUCUAUACUGUCCUCUGUCCAAGGACAAAGUGUGCCUUACCCCACAACUGCUUUGUGGUUAAAAGCUUCUAUUGAGGGAUAGUUUAUUUACUUCUAGCACUAUGAAGCAAUAUAGUGAGGUUUUUGUUUCCUUUGAAUCCCAGUCAUUUUAUGCUGCAGAAAAUCUAGAGUUUUUGCCACAGUGGAGGACUCUGCUUAAGGACUACCUAUCUGGGUCUGGUAAUAGCUACCCCAACCCAACGGUCCUGAACGAGUAAUAUGGUUCGACUGUUUCCCUCCCCACCUCCAAAUCUCAUCUUGAAUUGUAGUUCCCAUAAUCCCCACGUGUUGUGGGAGGGACCUGGUGGGAGGUAAUUGAAUCAUGGGGGCGGUUAGCCUCAUGUUGUUCUCCUGAUAGUGAGUUCUCACAAGAUCUGAUGGUUUUAUAAGGGGUUUUUCCUCCUUUUGCUUGGCACUUCUUGCUGCCACCAUGUGAAGAAGGACAUAUUUGCUUCCCCUUAUGCCAUGACUGUAAGUUUCCUGAGGCCUCCUGAGCCAUGUGGAACUGUGAGUCAAUUAAACCUCUUUCCUUUAGAGAUUACCCAGUCUCAGAUAUGUCUUUAUUAGCAGAGUGAGAAUGGGCUAAUACAAUGAGAUAGAACUUAAAUCCCCUGCAUGCUCAUCAGAGGAGGCUCCAUAGAAGAUCAUGGACCUUGAACAAGGUGCAAGUAAGCCUAGAUGCAAUGCAAUGGAUUAGGGAUUCCAGGCUUGAAAACCAGUGGGAAGGAAGGGGUCAGGUGGGAGUGGUCCUCAGUUCCUGUGUGGGCUCUGGCAUCAGGCAGCACACAGGAGUCUUCCCUGCUGGUGGGGAGAGAAAGAGGCAGUAGAAGGGGUCCCGAGCUGGAAGGAUCAGCAGCCACUGCAGACUACUGAUGGAGGCAGUGCCAGGGAGGAAGAGGGUCGUGCCUAGUGGUGUCCAGGCAUUGGCAUGCAGGAGGCAGUCCAGGCACUGGUACCCGGGAGAGUUAAAACUGGGGGAAGGGAAGACAGCAGGGGAUUCUCACAAGGAAUGUGGAGCAGAGGCCCAGGCAGGGGGCCAUCAAGGUGGAGAGGACUGAACCUGGAAAUGGAAGCUUUCCAAGUCACACAUUGAAGAGUAUCAGCAAGGUCUUAAGCCCUGGAACAGUGAGGGAUGGCAUCAGGACAAACUGAGGUCAGUGAGUGUGUUGGCAGCGGACCAGGCUCCGAACGGCACAAACUCCGUCUGGGAUGGGGAAUCUAGCAGAAGACCUAGGAAGAAUUUGAAGAGGGUUCAGAGGUGAAUUAGGGAUGCUUGUAGCUUUUGUGUGGGCAGUGCGUUACUGGGGUGUAGUCCUCAUUGAAGGCCCAAGAUUCUGCCUCUAAGGGUGUAACUCUGCUGAAUCCAGCACCUGAGAGGCUGUCCAGAGCAGGCAGGAGGUCAGCUGUCAGGCUGUGGGCCCAGUUUUAGAGUCAAAUUGAAUUUCCAGUGGGGAAGACCAAAGCUGAAGUCCAUCCCCCAGAGGAUGAGAGAAAGGAAGGCUGCAGCUCAGGCAGCUCAGGGAGUCUGAGGCAGCAAACGAGCUCUGGACCUUGAAGUGGGGAGAGGAAGUCCUUUCACCUCAUCACAGUGCUCACAUCACCUCAGAAACCAGGUGGGACACACAGCUGUGACAGGUGAGAGAUGAUUCCAUUGGUGCCUGGGAUACCAGAUUCAUGCUGGGAAGUAGGAUGGAUGUGGUGGUUUGCAAAAGGCUUUGUCUGCUAAAUUGAGGAUACUGGAUCAUACCCCAAGAGAAAGGGGAGCUCCAAUGGAAAAGCCACCUGCAUCAUGAUGCUGCCUGUCACUUGACUGAGCGUUCCUGCUGCCCAGAAGCUCCUGUUGUCCUCCCAACUGACGGGAUGCUCUUGGACAGUGAUGCCAGCUGGAAUUAAGACUGGGUUUCCAAGGCCACUGUGACCACCAUGAUUAAUCAAUCCCUACUGCUAGGGCUCCAACAUGCCUCAGCCAGAAAGCUGUCAUCUCUUUCCUGGGAACAUUCCUUAAGAAAGAACCAUCAUGGGGUUGGAUGAAACUAAACUUGCAAAGAAGGUGAUGUGUAACCAAGUUGGAGUGUGGAGUGUGGGGUCAAAGAUGAUGGCAUUCUGUGUGGAUCCGCAGUGGUAGGAAUGGAGGUGAGGAGGAAGAAAUGAAUCCAGGAGGCAGCGUGACAGAAAACACAGACUUUGGUGACGACAUGUGAGAAGCUGUAAACUGAUAAGAAGAAAAGACGUCUCCAGCACGUUUGGGUUAGUGUCAUCAACCCAUGGAUCCUGCCCACAGCAAGACUUGGCCCAGUCACAACCCCCUUUCUAGCAAUGUGGAGAUAAAUGUCUUCAACAGAAAGGGUUGGGAAUCCCAUGUGACAGCCGAGCUCUGUUCUGCCUUUGACAGAGUCUGAUGCGAAGUGGAUCAUCUCAGGGAUGUGCCUUGCUGGCUUCACCCACCUGGAGCCUCAGGGGAAGUCUCAGGUGGGAGAUGUUAAUUUGAGAGGCCUGGGUAUAAAAGUAAUCCCAAGAUGUCACAAGAUAGAAUACUUUCUCUGAGGCACAAACAGGGAGAAAAACAAGAACAGAACCCCUUAGCAGGACACUCAUAAUAAGAAGAAUUAGGAAAAGAAAAGGGAACCCGGGGUGACACAAAACUGGGGGAGUCUGUUACCACAAGGUAGAUGGCUACCUCCAGUUGGACAAAUUUCCAUGGACCACCAUGCAAUUUCUGGAGAUGCCGCCUUUGAUCCCCUCUUCUCCCUUUGCUCCUCCCUCAUCUCCACACUCAAAGUGCACAUUAUUCAGAUGUCCAGCACGCCCCUAAAUCAACUUGACUUCUCUUGUUCCUUGGCAGAUUCAAGGACCAGCCUUCAUUGGAUUUGGGGUGGAAGCUACAUGCUUGUGUCAAGGGUUGUAAUCCCAAGUCUGGUCCUGUUUUCUGCAAACAAUAUCAUUGUAAACACAUUGAAUGUGUCUGAAUGGGAUUCACAUAACCUAUUCAAAGGUUAAUAUCACAAGACUGAUACUGAGCUGGAAGCUCUGAAAUGUACUUGUGCUCAGGGAAGAUAUUUGCUAAUGUUUGGCUUUAAUUUCCCCUGGAACUUGUACACAUCAGUGAGGCCUGGGGAUAAUGAAUAACAGCAUGGACAAUAAAUUUUAAAACAAACAAAAUAAAAACUCAAAGAACAUUAAUGCAGACCAGUGCUGGGAUAUGAUGUGUGUUACAAGAGAGUAAUGAUUACUCUUGGUGAGCAGAUUCUAUUAUCUGCUUCUUAGGAGCAAUAGGUGGCUGCCUCUUGAUUGUAUUAGUCCUGGAGUUAUAAAAUCCUCAGUCCUUUACAAUGCAAAAGUGACACAUGGGGCGAGUAAGCAGGUAAGAGAAGGAGCAAUUGGAGGAAGAGAAAUGAGAUCUGUGGCAGGGGCUAUUGGCUUUCCACUAAAACCCAUUCUCUACUUCUUGCUGGGCAAGAACUAGGCAGUAUUUACCAGCCCCUCUUGCAUUUGGGGUGGCCACAAACGAAUUCUGGCCAGUGGAGUGAGGGGCUUCUCAGACAGCAGCCUGCCCCUUCCACACUCCUGUUCCCCUUGCAGUGGCUCAAAGCCCUUGGGUGAUGAUGGAGCCAUAGCUGGAAGAAGCCUGGGUCCCUGGGUCCCCCGUGGAGCCUCCACGCGGGAAGGUGGUCUAGAAAUACACUUCCAUAUUUCAGCCAGCAUGCCUUGGGAUCUUUUUUUAAUGGUGGUUCAGCCUACCCUAACUAAAGCUGGGCCCACUCAGCACGCCCCACACAGGGAUUCUGAAAUGGGAGCAGGGUCCACCAAAACUCUGCUUUUCAGAGAGCUCACACCCUAGGGGAGUAUAAAAGUGACGAGGACACUGGAGCUGGCAGGCAAGACCCAGGAUGCCAAAAUUAGGGCCCCUAAACACAGCAGGGAGGGUGAGCUAUCCUCUUGUGAGGUGGGAGGAGGGUCUCCGUGAGCAGGGCUCUUCUUGGGCCAAACCUGGAUCAUGAGGAGGAGGGAGAGAUGCUGAAUAUGACAUGUCAUUCAAAGUGCUGUCUGGAAAUUUGAGUUCGUUUCUUCAGUAGAGGCAGCACAGGUUAAUCAGACAAACCAGCCAUCAACAGGCUUCCUUUGAGGAGCUUGGUAAGAAUGGAAAACCCAGGGCUGAGGGGCUUACAGAGCUUACAGAGCAGCACAGUAUCAGGGGCCCAAGGCACCAGGAGCUCCUCUGGAAAUUGGCGGGAACAGCUGGAGCAAAGCCGAGGUGAUGGUACCCCUGGUGGCGGGACGGCAGCGACCCUCCAUGGUAUAAGGAGUGGUGAGACCCCAAGGGACAGUGUGCAAGGACUCUGAUGGCAGCAACACUCCUCUAGGAGCUGAUGAGAAAGGCCUGGAAUCCCAAGAUGCACCCCUGAGGUUCAACUCCUACCCUGAUCAUCUCCUCCAAGAUUCUGUGACCUGGGGAAGUCAACAGUACAUUUCAACACCUAUGAUGUCAGCAUGUGAAUGACAUUCCAAUGCUGCUCAUGGGGUCACCCCUGCAAAGGUGAACUCAGUGGAAAGACCUUGCCAAACCGGAAGGAAAACAGGAUACUUUUCUCCAAAAUACUCAUUCAAUAAAUAUUUGCUUAGGCAUUACAAAGACAAAUAAGACUUGCCCCUACCUGUUAGAGGUAUGUAUGUCGAGAAAAGGAAGGAGUGAUUCAAUAAGAGAAACAGCAUUCAGGGAAGAGAAAGAAGGAAGACAUAAAAAUUCAGGUCAUAUUAGAAUAAUAUAUAUAACAAUGAGUUUGGCUAUAUUUCAGAAUUUUCCCAAAAUAUUUCUUUCAAAUUUGAUUGACAUUCUAAACUAUUUAGCUUGAUAUAAAUGAGAUCUUUGUGUACCCUCAGCAGGAACUGCAUUUUAGCUGGUUUUAAAUCUCAACAAUCACUUUCCUGCCUUGGAGAAGGUAUGAACCAGGCUGUUUAUGUAGAAUCCAGGUGGGUUUGAGAGCAGCUUCAGCUGAAUGGAGAGUGACAGGGAGGCUGAGGAAGGGAGGGAGGGGACCCAUGGGCUGUCAUACCCGGGGACUUAGGAAGGCUCUUGCUCUUGCUGGAAGGGUUGCAAAUCCCUAAACCAAGUAAUCCCAUCCCUAAACCAAGUAAUCCCAUUAAAACAUGAAACAUCCAGAGUAAAAUUAAGUUUAGAAUACUAUUUGCAAAGCCAAACAUAGUCUUACCAUAGGAUCCAGGCAUCACACUCCUUGGUAUUUACCCAAAUGGGUUGGAAACUUCCAUAUAAAAAUCUGCACACAGGCCGGGUACGGUGGCUCACGCCUGUAAUCUCAGCACUUUGGGAGGCUGAGGCGGAUGGAUCACCUGAGGUCGGGAGUUCAAGACCAGCCUGACCAACAUGGAGAAACCCUAUCUCUGCUAAAAAUACAAAAUUAGCCAGGCGUGGUGGCACAUGCCUGUAAUACCAGCUACUCAAGGGGCUGAUGCAGGAGAAUUGCUUGAACCCAGGAGGCAGAGGUUGCGGUGAGCCGAGAUUGUGCCAUUGCACUCCAGCCUGGGCAACAAGAGUGAAACUCUGUCUCAUAAAAUAAAUAAAUAAAUAAAUAUAAACCUACACACAGGCCAGGCAGGGUGGCUCACCCUGUAAUCUCAGCACUUUGGGAGGCCGAGGCGGGUGGGGUGGAUCACGAGGUCAGGAGAUCAAGACCAACUUGGCCAAGACGGUGAAACCUCAUCUCUACUAAUAAUACAAAAAUUAGCUGGGCAUGGUGGCACAUGCCUGUAAUCCCAGCUACUCAGGAGGCUGAGACAGGAGAACCGCUUGAACCAGGGAGUCGGAAGUUGUGGUGAGCCGAGAUCACACCACUGCACUCCAGCCUGGUGACAGAGUGAGACUCUGUCUAAAAAAAAAACCUGCACACAAAUAUUCAUGGUAGCUUUAUUCAUACUUGCCAAAACCUGGAAGCAACCAAGAUGUCCUUCAAUAGGUGAAUGGGUAAAUAAACUGUGGUACAUCCAGACAAUGCAAUAUUAUUUGGUGAUUAAAAAAAAAGAAAUGAGUUAAAAUCUUGGAUUUCUUUUUUUUAAAUGAGUUAUAAAGCCACAGAAAGACCUUAAAUACAUAUUGUUAAGUGAAAGAAGCCAGCCUGCAAAGCUACAUCUAUACAUGACUGUAUGACAUUCUAGAAAAGGCAAAACUAUAGAGACAGUGAAAACAUCAGGGAUUGCCAGGGGUUAAGAGGGAAGGAAGGAUGAAAAGGCAGAGGACAGAGGAUUUUAAGGCCGGUGAAACAAUUCUAUAUCAUACCAGAAUGGUGGAUAUAUGGGCUGGGGCUCAGAAAACAAUACCCCCAAAUGAAUGCCUCAGAAGCAAAAGUUUCUCCUGCCCUCCCAUCCCUGACCUCAUUCUCCCCCAAGGUUAGCCAUAGAAACCAGAAGUCCUCUUUCCCAAGGUGGGUCAUAGAAACUUCCAAACCCCUUUUCCCCAAAGCCAGUCAUAAAACCUAAAAAUAUGACUCUAACUUCCACCCCCACCCCACCACCUUUCUGUGUAAAAAUGUGUCAUAAGGAAAUCAUCUAACCUGCCUUGUUUGGUUGUCGGUCGUAAGACCCCCAUUCGAGAGAGGGCCCUGCCCCGUACCCAGCAGGAAGCAAUGCUGCCCAGAGAGGCCACGAGGAAUCUAGACAGGGCUUGCUGGGGGGCCCCACUCACUCUAUGAGCAUUAGCUCAUUCCCUUUUUUGUCCAAUCACAUUUCUAAAUAUUUUGUUGCACCUAAGCUUAAAAGUGGGCAGAGUCCCCUGCAUCUCUGGGUCUUCGUUCUGAAGGCUCCCCUGUCAUGUAACACUAUGACCAAAUAGAUGUGUGUGCCUUUUCUCCUAUUCAUCUGCCUUUUGUCUGUUAAUUUUCAGUGAAACUUCAGAGGGUGAAGGGGAAGUUUUCCUUGGCCCCUACACGUGUCAUUACAAACCCAUAGAAUGUACAAUGCCAAGAGUGGACCUUAGUGCAAGCCAGGGACAUUAGUCAGUAAUAAUGUUCCACGCUGACGCACAAAUGAAAGUUAUUUUAUUUGUGUGAACAGGAGAGCUGACAUGGUCUGUAUUGAUAUCUCCUGGGCAGGGAGGUGGUGAGCACGGCCCCAGAAUUCUGAACUGCCAGGAGCCAGGCAGCUUUGCAUCCUGGAGCUUGGCCAAUUCAGCCGCCCAAGUUCUGGCCAUGGGUCUGCAGCCCCCUGGCCCUUGCCUGCAUAAGCAGGAGAUGAAUGAGAGGAAGCAGAACUCACACAGGAGGCAGGAGGAAGCCACCAGGAAGCUCACUGGCUCCAGGGGCAGCAGAUCUGGGAUGGGGUCCCAGUUCUCUCCUUCCUCAUUCAUGAAAUGGGGCAAUAACAGUACUUACUUCAUUGGAGGUUCUUGGAGGGAAUAAAAGAGAUAUUAGUUAAAGGCAUGGAGCACAGUCCCUGGCACACUGAAAAAGUUUCAUAAAUGUUACCAAUUAAUUGUUUGUAUUAUAUAAUGUCUUCCUGAUAGGUUUUUGGGAAGGAAUAAAUCAAAGGUGAGAAAAUAUAUACAAAAACCUGACUGAGCGAGAACAUAGCUUACACACAAGAAGUGGCAGCUUGGUGAGCACACUGCUAUGUCAUGUUGUGCCUAGUCAUGACAUAGCCAAGGACUGAUACAGGCGCUCCCAUAACCCAUGGAUGGAUUCCUGCUGGACUCUAUUCAUGAAGGUUCUGAUUCUAAUUUUUUUAAAUCCAUGGAUAAAACAGCUACCAGAAAAUCCCAUUUGGGUUUGCAUGUUGUUCUUUGGCUUCGGUGGACAGCAAUCAUAUCAGUUGCAUUUCCCGAGCUAGAGCUCUGAGGCUUAGUCAUCCCCCUCCCUGGCUGGCUUCCAUGCUGUCUGCAGUGGGAGCAUCUUUUAUGAGAUGACAGGAGGGGACUUCAUGGAUGUGCAGCCUGGGCUGCUGGUACUGCCGGGGCUGCUGGUACUGCUGGGACUGCAGGAGAGGGAUGGUUUCUAUUAAUCCUCACAAUGGGAGGGUCCAGUGGGCUGUCACAGCACAGGCAGGGAAUCACAGGCCUCCCUGGGUGACCAGCUGUCCUGGCUGCUACCAGAUUCGGACUCCAGCAGGCUUUCCCUGGGGGCAGAGAUGACCUUGAUCUCUGGGCAGCUAGGCUUCAUGUCCUUGAUAUUUGUGGCCCUGCAUUGUUGGGGCACAGGAUGCAGAGCUGGGGAUGACUGAGCUUAAACUCCUGCUGCUAUGGAGGGCUGCCUCCUUGCCCUGAAUGCCCUGGGAGCCCUUUUAAAAACACAGGUCCAAGGAGUGAUAACAUGAGGGGCAGCACCUCUGGCCCCUGAGAGAGAAACUUGUCCAGUGAUAUGUGCACAAGCAACAUCUCCAGGCAUUCCUUCCAGACAAGGCAAGAGGCCCCCCAGGUGUGAUAUGUUAGCUACACAUGGGCUUGGUCUGUACUGCAAAUGUGUACUCAGUGAUGGGGCCAUUAGAUAUUUGGUUUCUACAUUGCUGCGAUGAAAAUUUACAAAGAACGUUCAUGGGGAAACCAGCUCCCAUCCAUGGGCAGCAGAGGAAUGUUGUCCAAGACUUACAUGGACAGGUAAGACUAAGGUCUCAUCCCAUACUCAGCAGUUCUGUGACCUUUUACAGAACAUAGGGAGGCAAGAAGGGAAAUGAGCCUUAGUUAGCCUCAGGGAGAACCAAGCCAGGUCUGUUUAGGGUCACCACCUUCACUGAACUGCCCUCCACUGGAGGCUAGGAACUGCAGGACAUGAGUUCAACAUCAAAAUAGUAAAAAUAGUGGCAAAUGUUUAGCAGUGUUUGCAACAUAUCAGGUGUCACAGCAACCUCUGCAGGAGAGGUGAGCAGGGCUAAUAUUUAGCAGGUGCACCCUUGUACUGGCUGCCUGCCAUUUAAUAGGUUAGUGCCUCAGCUGGUUAUUGAAUAUUUUCAACAUCGGCCCUGGGUACUAAGAUUAGUUCCCAUUUUACUGAUUAGGAAAUCGAGGUUAAGAGAGGGUAGGCGAUUUGCCUGAGAUCACACAGCCUCGUGUGUGGCAGAGCCUUAGAUUCCAAGCCAGGCUGUCCGAUGCCAGACCUUCACAGCUAUCCUAUGCUUCCACGGCACCCCGGACUUCCCCUUGGAGCACUUGCCAGUGAAACAAACAUGCCCUGGAGAAAUGCCUGGGUGAGUGUGCCUUCUUCCUUGCACAGAGACGGGCCUCUUGCACCCUCUACUUUCCUACUGUGGCUGGGGUGAGGUGGCGGGUAGAAGGGCGUGGGUUGUAGCUCACUGUCUUCUUCAGGAGUCCCACAGUGGGUAGGAGCACCAGCUGUUCAACAAGAGAAGACCAUUAGGCUUCAGGAGGGAGAGGAAGUUUUUUUGGGAAUGAGAGGACCAAGAGAAAUGAGGCACAGGGGAGAUCGGCCCCAAGGCUUGUCCUGAAAAAAGAACAUCAUCUUCUUCUAAGGUCCCGAGCGUGGGAUUUAUCUGACACAUUCUUCCACAUGCUUAUUGCAGGAGGAGCGUUGUGUUAAGUGCUUUGCAUGCAUUAAUUAUCUCAUUUAAACCAAAACCAACCCAGUGUGGCUGAGUGACUAUAUGAUGUCCAUUUUACAGAUGAGGAAAGGGAGGCUGAGAGAGCUUAAAGGACACACCACUUUUGAGUGGCAGAGCUAGGAUGCAAACCAGACCUGACUGCUGUUAAAGCUUGUGAUGUUUGUAGUCAUUCUUCUAUACUGUACCCUCAUAGGAAGUUCAAAAACAGAGAGGGUGGGAUUUGGUCUUUGGCUUUUGUUUAAAUGUAUGUUUUUAUAGAUAUAUUUCCUUAGCCCAUGCUAUGAACCAGGAGUUUCCAUUUGUUUAUUUAACUGAUUUAUUAAGCCUUUUUAGGGGCCAGCCCAGGUUCUGGGCACAAGCUGGAGAAGGAGAGCUGCUGCGGUCCCUAACUCAUGCCUCUUGCGGCAGUGGGUGGGUGUGAAGAGGGAGGAGGGGAGGAGGUGGUGAGAAGUCUGCUUCACAUUAUUCAGAGUUUCCUGUGAGCCAGGCACUGUGCCUGGGGCUAAGUGAUUAUAUCAUUUAGCCCUCCCAAUAGACUCUCAGGUAGACGCUCUCUUAUUUCCACUUUUUCCCAUUUACAGAUGGGGAAAUGAAGACUUAAGAAACUUAGGUAAUCUGCCCAAAGGCUUAUAGCCAAUACAUGGUAAAGCUGAGAUGUGAACUCAAGUAUCUGACUCCAAAGCCUGGGUUUUUUCUCUUUCUCUCUCUCUUUUUUUUUUUUUUUUGAGACAGGGUCUCACUCCUUCACCCAGUCUGGAGUGCAGUGACAUGGUCAUAACUCACUGUAACCUCAAACUCCUGGGCUCAAGUGAUCCUCCUUUCUCAGCCUCCUGAGUAGCUGGGACUACAGGCACACACUUUUAUGCCUGGAUAAUUUUUGUACUUUUUUUGUAGACAGGGUCUUACUGUGUUGCCCAGGCUGGUCUGGAACUCCUAGGCUAAAAUGAUCCUCCUGCCUCAGCCUCCCAAAUUGCUGGGAUUACAGGUGUGAGCCACUGUGCCCGGUCAAAGCCUGUGCUUUGAUUUGCCACCUAAUCCUCCUCCGUUUUAUAUGUAAUGUUAACCCCAAACCUGCAGGGUAGCCGUUAUCAGCCUCAUUUAACUGACAGGGAAGCCCAGUCUCAGAGGGGCCAGAUGCGUGCCCAAGGCCUUGCUGGGAAGAAUGGGAUUCUGGGCCCAGGCAUUCCAGCGCCAAGUCCAGGGCGUGAUUGUUACUCUGCAGUCCCUCUCUGUGACAAGAGCCUCACCGGGAACUCGGGGGUGGGGGCUCCCCCAAGCCUCCUGGCUGGACCCCAUUCCAAGCGUUAGUGUAACAGAUGUUGUGUGGCGGGAGUCUGUUGUGCUCCUGGUGUGUGGCUGGGAUUCAGAGGUGUCUUCAAGCGCUCUAGGAAGCCGGCGGGCGGGGCCAUGGCCGCAGAAGUGAGUGCAGGGAUGGAGAAUACAGGGAGUCCCUUGACCGGAGGAGACUUUGGAGGCAUUUGUGCUGUUCGCGUGAACUCCGCGUCCAUGGCCUACCCUGUGAUUGUCAUCAUUUCUAUGUGAGAAAAAAGCGGCUACUGAUUCACAGCGAAAGGAAACGGACUAGGUUCUGAAACUUCCUGUUUGUCUGGUAUCUGCAAAGAUAUGUGUGUUAUGCAAAUACCCUGACUCCCCAGAACUGCAGGUGUGUACAAACACACACACGCACGCACACACACACACACACACACACACACACACACACCCUCUGCUUGGCCCCAUGCAGUGGGUCUCCUCUGUACCCAGUAAACUGAAACAUGACUCUACUAACAUGGUAGCCAGGACACUGGGGACUCUGCUGUCGGAAUCCCUGAUCAUAGAGACAGCAGCUUUGGCCUUCGGCUCAAAGAGCUUCACAGAUGUCCCUUGUAGGCGAGUCCUGGCUCUGGCUCCUGGCCCACUGCAGAGCCUGGGAGUGAGGCAGGCAGAUAGGCGAGGGGGUCUCACCCAGGCCCAGGAACUCCAUUUUCUCUCAGCCCCAUUCCUCCCUCCCUCGGCUCCCUGACCGUGCUGAACGCAGCUCCCAAGCAGGGGGAGAGUCCAGAUAAUGGCAGAUGUUGAUUGUUUCCUGUUGGUUCACUGUGUCCUUUUGGCAGGCCUUUCUUUCUUUCAAAAUAUAUUCAGGUUUGAGCCUAGCACUGCAGCUUGCUGAGUGGGUCUAUGCUUCCAUAGAGCAGUGGCUUCGGGCACAGGCCUGAGACCCAGCCUGCCUGCGGGCUGCUAGCUGCCAGCUACCUCUGCACUAGGAAGGUUUUUAAACAGCUGAAUGCAAGCUUCAGCGUUAAUAGGUGAAAGUGAAAAUGACAUGUGACUUCUAGACAAUUCUCAUAGAUUCAAAAUAAUUGUUCUCUGUAAUGAGUAAAAUAACACUCUUGCAACAGCUGAAUGCUUUUCUCAUAUUCUGAGUUGCCCGAAUUAGGGGAAAUGGGUCUAAAUGGCUGCAAGAGGCAGUUUUGUCAGCUAGACGUCUUUUUACAAGUAUAUUGCAUCCUUCAGUCUCUUCCUGCCCCACCCUAAGACCCUCACCUGGGAAAUGGGAGGAUGGCUUGGAAGGCAAUUGUCAGGCCUCUGAGCCCAAGCUAAGCCAUCAUAUCCCCUGUGACCUGUACAUACACAUCCAGAUGGCCCGGUUCCUGCCUUAACUGAUGACAUUCCACCACAAAAGAAGUGAAAAUGGCCUGUUCCUGCCUUAACUGAUGACAUUACCUUGUGAAAUUCCUUCUCCUGGCUCAUCCUGGCUCAAAAGCUCCCCCGCUGAGCACCUUGUGACCCCCACCCCUGCCCGCCAGAAAACAACCCCUUUGACUGUAAUUUUCCUUUACCUACCCAAAUCCUAUAAAACAGCCCCACCCCUAUCUCCCUUCGCUGACUCUCUUUUCGGACUCAGCCCGCCUGCACCCAAGUGAAAUAAACAGCCUUGUUGCUCACACAAAGCCUGUUUGGUGGUCUCUUCACACGGACGUGCGUGAAAGCGAUGAAGCUGAGGUUGCAGGAAAGGAGUGAUCACCUGGCUCAGAGCUGGGCCCUAAAAGUCUAGGCCAGAGCCUCCCUGUUGUGAAAGGGAGUGGAAGGAGAAGGGGCUGGGAUGGGUCAAACUGGGUGGAAAGCUAGGCUCUGCUGUUUAGAAGCUGUAUGAUCUUGAGCAAGUUGCUUAACCCUUGCUAAGCCUCAGUUUCCCUUCCUGCAGAAAGGGAUUAUCAUGGGGACGAAAGGGGAUCCAGAACCUGGAGUGGAGGAUAGGGUGGGUAAGUGGAAGGUGUCAUGAGGACAACAUAUGCUGAGACACUCACCACCCUUUCUGAGGGCGCCUCAGCAGCAGGUCACAUGGUGCCUGAAACUCGUUUUUCUGAGUUGUGCUGGUUUGUGGAAUGAAAAGGGAAGCCAGGCUUCCUUCUUACUAGCUCUGACUGCCUUGUUUUAAGGAUCAUUCACCUUCCCUAAGGAUGGGAUAAAGCCUUCCUGUAGAGCAGACCGAUCUCCUUCUUUAUCCCUACAGUUCUCCCACCGUGGCCAUGGCCUUGGGGGCUGUUCUGACUCUUACAUUUAUAUAUCACUCCUACUUUCCCAGCCAGCAGGAUAGAAAACCUGAGAAGGGAAUUCUGCCUUAUAAACAUUUCUUACAGAUGGGGCAGACAGGUUGUUUCUUUUUUACCAAGGAAGCUCAGGGCAAUUCUGGUUGCAGGAAUGUUAAGCACUGAUAAAGAAGAGAAGAAAAAAUAUUCACCCUCCAGGGCCUGGAAUUUCCCCAUUCCUGAGCCCUGGCUUCCCUGUCUGAGAUAGAGACUGUCAGUCAGUCACCUACCAAUUCCCAAUUUCUCUUUCUGCUUUACUAAAAGUACUUGAUUUGGGAUGGGGGUGGGGGGUGGCAGGCAGCAAUACAUCCAAGUAAAAGACUGUACUUCCCAAAUCUCUUGAAACUAGGGACAGCCAAUGAGGUAUAAAUGAAAAUUAUUGGGGCUGGGGUCCCAAAAGCUUCUCUCUCUUUUUUGAGACAGAGUCUCAGUUUGUCAUCUAGGCUGGAGUGCAGCAGCAGGAUCACAGCUGUAAAAUCAAAAGUGUCAAAGACAGGUCUCAAUCAAUUUAGAAAGUUCAUUUUGCCAAAGUUAAGAGCACACCUUUAACCUCAGGUGAUCCUGACAGCAUGUACCCAAGGUGGUUGGUGCCCAACUUGGUUUUAUACAUUUUAGGGAGCAUAAGGCAUCAAUCAAUAUGUGUAAGAUGUACAUUGGUUUGGUCUGGAAAGGUGGGACAACUGAAAGGUGGGACUUCCAAGUCAUAGGUGGAUUCAAAGAUUUUCUGAUUGGCAAUUGGUUGAAAGAGUUAUUAUCGAUAGAAAAGAAUGUCUGGGUUAUGAUGAGGGGUUUUGAAGGGAGGAGGGUAGAAUGAGGCAUGUCUGACUCCCCCUUCCCAUCAUGGCCUGAACUAGUUUUUCAGGUUAACUUUGGAAUGCCCUUGGCUAAGAGGAAGGGUCCAUUCAGAUGGUUGGCGGGGGGGCCUUAGAAUUUUAUUGUUGGUUUACGUGGCUCAGUGCAGCCUUCACCUCCUGGGCUCAAGUGAUCCUUCCAUCUCAGCCUCUUGAGUAGCUGUGGCCACAGGUGCAUGCCACCAUGCCUGGCUAACUUUUUUUUUUGGUAGAUAUGGGGUCUUGCCAUGUUGCCCAGGCUGGUUUUGAAUUCCUAAGCUCAAGUUAUCCUCCUGUUACAGGAAAGGGGUCCUGAUCCAGAUCCCAAGAGAGAGUUCUUGGAUCUCACACAAGAAAGAAUUCGAGGUGAAUCCAUAGAGUAAAGUGAAAGCAAGUUUAUUAGGAAAGUAAAGAAAUAAAAGAAUGGCUACUCCAUAGGCACAGCAGCUUCCAGGGCUGCUGGCUGCCCAUUUUUAUGGUUAUUUCUUGAUUAUAUGCUAAUUAUUUAGUGUUUGCAAAAAUAGCCAGGCUAUAAGGGGUGGAUUAUUCAUGAGUUUUGUGGAAAAGGGGUGGGCAAUUCCCAGAGCUGAGGGUUCCUCCCAUUUUUAGACCAUAUAGGGUAACUGCCAGAUCUUACCAUGGCAUCUGUAAACUGCCAUGGUGCUGAUGAGAGUGUCUUUUAGCAUGCUAAGGCAUUAUAAUUAGCAUAUAAUGAGCAGUGAGGACAAUCAGAGAUCACUCUUAUCACUAUCUUGCUUUUGGGGGGUUUUAACCAGCUUCUUUACAGCAGCCUGUUUUAUCAGCAAGGUCUUUGUGACCUGUUUCUUGUGCUGACCUCCUAUGUCAUCCUGUGACUUAGAAUGCCUACCCUUCUAGGAAUGCAGCCUAGUAGUUCUCAGUCUUAUUUUACCCAGCCCCUACUCAAGAUGGAGUCCCUCUGGUUCAAAUGCCUCUGACACUCCCACCUCAGCCUCCCAUAGUGCUGGAAUUACAGGCUUGAGCCACUGCACCUGGCCUUAAAAGCUUCUUAAAGGGAUCUAAGAAAUUGACUCUCCCCACCCUCUUUCUUAACCGUAAAACACUAAUGUAAUGGCUGGAGUUCUAGCAACCAUAUUGGGCCAUGAGGCAACCUUGAAAAAGGAAGCCACAAACUAAAACAUUGACUCUCAACCUUUAAUGCUGAAAAAAGAAAAAGUAUCCCCUGACAUCCGGGAAAUGGCCUGACACUUUGAGCUAGGGCUUAAUCUUAUUAAAAGCUUGCCUGGCUAUUUUUGCAAACACUGAUGUCAGUCGCCAGUCUGCAACUGUGAUGAAGAGGUCAAAAGAGACCCCUUCCUAACUCUGUCUAAGCACAAACAACUCCACAAAACACUAGACACACCCCCUUCUGGCUCAUUAAGUGACAGGGGCCUCCUUAUCAACUAUAACUAUAGCCUUGAUCUUGUCUUCUGUCCUUAUAGAUAAGAUUUACUAACAUACCCAGCUGCAGAAUUGUCCCAUUUCCAGACAGCAGACAAUGCAGAGCAAGCCCUUCCCUCCUAGACCCUCCCCAAAUUCACCUAACCAAAGCCCAAAGCCUAAAAGUCCCUUUGAACACCUUUUUAGUGAAAUGGUGCCCCCAUGAUAUCUUCCUCAUUGCAACCAGUAAUAAAGCCAACUUGUUCAAAUGCCGGUUUGCAAAUAAAUCACUUGGGGAUUUGUUAAAAUGCAGACUGUGGUUCAGUAGGUCUGAAGUAGAGCUUAUUCUGUGUUUGCCACAAGCACCCAGUGAGGCACUUGCUGCUGGACCAUGGUCCCACUUUGGGUAGCAAGGCAGUUAAGGGUGGCAGAUUAGAACACUGGACAUGCUUAACCUUGACCAUGGGACCACUGUAUGCAUCCUGUUGUUUCUCAGUGAAAAUAUGCCUGUAUUUCAUGUAAGCCCCCGCUAUAUAUGUUGGCUACUAGCAACUUAACCAACACGUUGUCCUUGUCCUUAGAAAAUGUGUGGUUACAGCCAGGUGUGAGCAGGCCUAGACCAGGCUUGGGGAUUUAUUGACCAAAUGUGGUGCCUUUGAGGUGAAACCACAAGUAAUCAGAGAAGCUGAGUCACUCCACUUAGUGGACUGGUGGAAAAUUCUCAAAUGGUCUUAAGCUGGCCCCAUGUUGGGCUGAGGACUAGAGAUCUCAGAGGCUCCACCUGCCCAUCCAAUUGCAGGUGUCUGGGCCUGGCCCCACCUUGCCUUCCUGCUCCAUUGCUCACCAUUCCACACCCAAAGGCACCAUGAUGUUUUGUACCUCCUUGCCUUUGCUCUUCCCUUUGCCAGGGAUGCCCUUCCCACCUUCCUCCACGUGGCUAACCCUCCCUCAGCUCUGCUUCCAGGGUGUCUCCCCUGGUCGCCAAGGGCUGGCUAGUGCCUCUUCUUUGCUCCCAGGGCACCCUGUGCCUUUCUGUGCCCCAACUAUUUCCCAGUUUGUAGCAGUUAUUUAUUUUGUGGUCAUCUUCCCACUGGUCGUCAGCUCCUAGAGGGCAGGGAUCAUGUUUUGGGUUAUUCAUCACUGCAUCCCCUGACAUAGUCCCCAAACCUCGAGAACUAUGAAACUGCACCAAAGGUUCCAGCUCCCCCACAGCCUGCCCUUAACCUUGAGCCAUUUGAAGGGAGAGUAUGAGACAAUAGUGAAAGAAACCCUUCUCUAAUGUUUUCCCCAUUUAGGUUAUGUGAAGUUGGCAGUUCCCAAGGGCUUUAGGCUUGAAGCUGUGGGUCAUACCCCUUCGGAAACUUGGUCCCCAAGAGAAAUGUAUGCUUCUGAAAACCACAGGUGCAUGAAUCGUGUUUAGUAAAUGACUACUAAACUGAAAUCAGGACUUGUCUAUAUCUUGGCUUCUCAAACUUGAAUAUGCUUAUCAUCUGGAUAGCAAAAGCAUUCCUACACGUUGAGGCCUGCCAGCGUGGGUGUCACCCAGGAGCCACUCGGAAAGGCUCAUCGGAAACCACCCCGGACUGACUGAGGCAGAAUCUCUGGGGGCAGGACCCAGGCCUCAGCAUAAAAACUCCAGGUGACGGAAGAGCUCCCACCUAACAGGUGUGUUGGCAUUGUUGUAGGUGACUGACGUAGUUUCCCAUCUCACAACUCUACCUCCAUGAAGAAAAGUCAUGGAAAAUUGAGACUUUGGGCUGAGUGUGGCUCAUCCCUGUAAUCUUAGUGCUUUGGGAGGCUGAGGUAGGAGGAUCGCUUGAGGCCAGGAAUUUGAGGCCAGCCUGAGCAACAUAGUGUCUCUUCAAAAAACUAAGUUUAUUCUUUCCUCUUUUUUAGUUUUUAUUUUACACGGCUCACUGUGGCUUUGACCUCCCAUGCUGAAGCGAUCCUCCUAUCUCAACCUCUCAAGUAGCUGGAAGCACAGGCAUGCACCACCACACCUGGCUAAUUUUUUUCUUCCUUUUUUAAAGAGACAGUCUUGCCAUGUUGCCCAGGCCCUGUUGACCAGGAAAAAAAAAAGUUUUUUUUCUUUUUUAAAGAAAGAAAAUAAAAGAGACUGAGAAACCACAGAAAUAAAGAAGCGCUGAUGACAAUGCCUGCUUGCUGAUGGUUACGAUGAUCAUAGCAGUGUGCAUUUUGUAUGCAUGAAGCCUGCGACUAAAUAAACGUGUGGGGAAAUAUUUGUAAGGAAAUAAGCUAUUAAUAAAAUAAGCUAAAAUCACAGUUGCUGGACUAUGACUGAUUUUUCCCCUUUCUCUCAUUUAAAAUUAAAUAUUUGUAUGACUUGUAUAAUAGAAAAAUACAUGUAUUCAAUCUUAAAAAGAUAUUCUUAUUUUACACUUUACGGGACAAAAGAGGUUGUAGGUUGGAAUGGUUCAGUCCCCUUGUGACAACUCAAAAACAGAGACCUUAAGCCUUUCUCAACCAAUGUUGCGGGACAAGCAGGCGUGUGAGGCGACAAUGCCAUUAGGGUAUUUUUUGGAAAAAUUUUAGUGUGAGAGACAAAAGCCAAAUUCAAACUGGCCUGAGCCAAAAUAGGUAGGAAAGGGAGAAGCGGAGACAGGGAGGAAGAAAGAGAGAGAACAGAAAGAAAAAGGGAGAAAUGUCGAAAGGCAAAAUUACAACACAUUUAGUUAAAUGAUUGAAUUGGUUUUUAUUUGUAAUUCAUGAAUUGGGGCAGCAUCUCCUCUAAAACUUUAGGAAAAGUGCUCUGAUGAGCUAAACAGAGAAGCUUGGCUUUAUAGGCAGAAAAGGGUGAAGAAAGCAGACACAGGGAACAAAAAGCAGAUUGGUAAGCUCAGGUUACUUCAGGUUACUUUCCUUAUAAAGGUUAAAGUAGAGGGGACUUCCUUAUCAUGCUGGCUACAACUGGCCUGUUUGGGGAUUUGCAUAUUAUCUCUCUCUGUCUUGAGUUCUGGGAAGGUCUGAUGACUUAGUUUCAGUUUGGUGAUAUGGAACUUAGCAUGAGUGACUCCAUCUUGGUUUGGUCUACUGGGGCCUCCUGCAGGAGCUCAGCCCAAAUCAGUGACCUCCUAUAAAUUUCAUUUAAUAGAAAAGGAAGGAAGGAAGGAAGGAAGGAAGGAAGGAAGGAAGGAAGGAAGGAAGGGAGGGAGGGAGGGAGGGAGGGAGGGAGGAAGGGAGGAAAGAAGGAAGGAAAGAAAGAAAGUUGCUUAUAAGUUGCUUAUAACUAAAAAGACCAGCUGGACCCAGGAGCUCUGAGGUUGCUUUCAGGCCUCUGUCCAUCUCUUAGUUUUCCAUCCUCAGACAGGCUCUGCCCUGCCUUACAGUCUAGCAUUGUUGGCCAAAGGUGACUGACUGGCCCAGCUUGGGCUAUAUGUCCUUCCCUGUGGCCAGAGAGAUGUGUCUCUGUGAUGGCCAGGCUUGGGUCACGUACUCCCUCCCCUACCAGAAUCACAUGAAAAGAGGGAGGAAGAGCCGCUUUCCACCAAAGGAAACUGAAGUGCUAUUGUCAGAGGGGUUGCUGGGCAGACCAAAAAGAUGACAAUAUCUGCUCCAAUCGCUCGGGUUGUUGGUGCUUGGCAGAUUUGCCCCUACGUCACUUUUCAGAUGUGGAUAAGACUGAAGGUGACCACAGGCUUCCGAGAGGAAAGCUGCCAAUGGGGGUGUGAGAGGAGGGGGAAUUCUUACUCACCAAGGUUAACACUGUGCACACUGUUCUCCGAGGAAGUGGGAAUUUCCACAUGGUGAGUUCCCUUCCCUGUACAAUGAAUUACUAUCUUGAUGAGAAACCCGUGGGCAGCUGGUUGAGAAGAGAAAGGUAUUCUCUGAAUGAGAGGGAAUUUACCACCUUCCUUUCAAUGGUGACAGUUUUUUCUGGUGUCACCGCAGGGUGUGGAUUGAUUCAUAUACAAAUAUACAUAUCUACAUAGAUGCCAUUCUGCUAGCCUCUGCAAAAUGCAUGCCUGGAGACCAUUUCUGCUGCCUAGGAGAUGUCAACUUUGUCACCACCACUCUCUCUCCACCACUCCCACACCCUGCAGGGGCCAGGUGUGUGGGUGGGGAGCUCCCCAGCUGGAGGCCAGAUUAGAGGUCUCUGUGUGGUGGGGAUGGGGAGGAUGGGGUGGGAAUGAGGUGGUAGGCCACUGGCAGUGGUCCAAGUUCCAUCCAGGAUCUGUCCUAGGCCUCUCCCCAGGCUGUCGCUUCCACCAUUGAAUUUCUAACCUGGAUCUCUAAGGUUAUGAAUAUCUCAUUCCCGCAUCCUGGGGUGCUCAGACAUGUCUCCCCUGAGUCUCUAGCUGGGCUCGUGGCUGUGAUCAUUGUCCUCAGAGUUCCAUCCUCCCAACAAAGGGACAGAAGAAACACAGGGCCCACUUUUCUGGAUUCUGAGUUGGAGCCAAGAAAUUCUAUCUGCUGCUUCCUUCCUGUUGAAUUAUCCCCCAAGGACCCCUUAGUCCCUCCAGUCUCCUCCAGAGGCCUAUAGCUGCCCCAGCUCCCCAUGAUGGAUACCUGGCUCUUUCCUACCCAGAGGAAAACGCAGGCCCUUCCCCAGCCCUGCACUGAACUCCUGUGAGUGGCUGAGGAGAUGAGGAGGUGUGAAGAGUGAGUGUGUUGGGGAGGGAGGGGUCCCCUGCCACCAGGUACCAAGGACUUCUGCCAGAUCACCAGAACUGACACCUGGUUCCACCGGCCAGCUGUGAAGUGUCGGCCCUGACAUCAACAGCUGACCUCCCACAGGGCCUAAGGAAACGGAAUUGUGG
rnacentral:lncRNA from 1 species